UACAGAGGGUGCAAGCGUUAUUCGGAAUUAUUGGGCGUAAAGGGCGCGUAGGCGGCCUGGCAAGUGGAUGGUGAAAUCCCUCGGCUUAACCGAGGAACUGCCAUCCAGACUGCUUGGCUUGAGACCGGGAGAGGUGAGUGGAAUUCCCAGUGUAGCGGUGAAAUGCGUAGAUAUUGGGAGGAACACCAGUGGCGAAGGCGGCUCACUGGACCGGUACUGACGCUGAGGCGCGAAAGCGUGGGGAGCAAACAGG
rnacentral:rRNA from 1 species